UACGGGGGGAGCAAGCGUUGUUCGGAUUUACUGGGCGUAAAGGGCGCGUAGGCGGUCAGCACAAGUCAGUUGUGAAAUCUCCGGGCUUAACUCGGAACGGUCAAGUGAUACUGUCGGACUAGAGUACAGAAGGGGCAACUGGAAUUCUCGGUGUAGCGGUGAAAUGCGUAGAUAUCGAGAGGAACACCUGCGGCGAAGGCGGGUUGCUGGGCUGAUACUGACGCUGAGGCGCGAAAGCUAGGGGAGCGAACGGG
rnacentral:rRNA from 1 species